rnacentral:rRNA from 1 species
UUUAUAGAGAGUUUGAUCCUGGCUCAGGGUGAACGCUGGCGGCGCGCUUAAUGCAUGCAAGUCGAACGUGCCUUCGGGCAAGUGGCAGACGGCUGAGUAACGCGUGAGUAACACACCCUUCGGUGGGGUAUAGCCUCGGGAAACUGAGGGUAAUCCCGCAUACGAUCCCUUUACCCUGGUAUUGGGAUGAAAGCCUUCGGGCGCCGGAGGAGUGGCUCGCGUCCUAUCAGGUAGUUGGUGAGGUAACGGCUCACCAAGCCUAUGACGGGUAGCUGGUCUUAGAGGACGAUCAGCCAGAGGGGGACUGAGACACGGCCCCCACUCCUACGGGAGGCAGCAGCAGGGAAUUUUGGGCAAUGGACGAAAGUC